AAACAUCUAUGCAUCUAUGCAGAUUGGUCUGCUCAAAGCUGUCAGAAAAUACAGGACAGAAUAGAGAUUGUCUGGCGAUUUAAGGGUUGUGUUCACGACUGUACUAAACCACAGCCUGAUCUGCUUUGACUGCCUUUUUUUCCCUUUGCUGUUAUCCUUCUCCAGUCUCCCCUCUCCGUCUACCCCUCCGUCUCUCUUCCAUGGCAUUACUGCAAUGAGGUAGAAGCAGCCAUCAGCCUCCACCUUAGUUCCCAGGGGGCUGUCCAGUAUAAUGAAUCAGCAGCCAUUCUGAGCAGACUGAUUAAAAUGAAAAUGGCAAGGCACAUGUCUGGGCGGAACUAGAGCUCAGCCUUGCUGCCUGUCUGGCAAAGCAUGCUCACUAUUGCUAUUCGGCUGAUAAUCAUGGCAGAACGCCUAUGCAUUCCUUGCUGACCUAUAGUGCCAACAGCAUUUCUCUUUGGAUGAGCAUUUUCAAUGUAUGAGGAAGCCUUUGGAAAUUUUCUCUCUUCAGGCACAAGCCGGGAGUAUGAUCAGCACUAAAAGCCCACCCAUUGCUGGCAGCACAUUAUGCAGCAGACAGUAAGCUAGGGAGCAGUUGCACAGCUUAUGUAUUUUUCCUCCCUAAGCUCCUUGCUGUUAAGAAAGCCUCCUCUCUGCCUCAAUUUGACUGGGAUGCUGCAGUGCGAUUCACAGAUCAAUAGAGCUGUUCUAAUGGAGGCUGCACUCUGUGAGCAGCUGCAGUCGGCUGUGCAAGUAAAACCCUCCUGACGUCUGGGCUCGCCGUUGCCACUGAUUGGACGCCGCAUCGGAUGUUCUGCCAAGCAAAAAAUAGCAAUCGCUUUUACCGUCUAUUAGGAAGAAAUGGUAGGUUGAAUUUUUUUUUCUCAGUCUCUAGGAGACAGAGGAUGGGUUCUUCCAUGCAGCCAGCCACACAGUAUCAUUUAAGGACAAGUCUCCCAGAGGAGAGUGGUCACCAUAAUGAUAAAAAAAUAUACAUAAUGACACCCACAGAAUAUUAUGUGACUGCAAAGCCCCACAGCAGGUACAUGCACUGAAUCAUCCACAACAAGCAGGAUUUCAAAUGAUGCAAUAAGAGAAGAACUGUUAAACAGUG